UACGUAGGGACCAAGCGUUGUUCGGAUUUACUGGGCGUAAAGGGCGCGUAGGCGGUGCUCUAAGUUUGGUGUGAAAUCUCCCGCUCAACUGGGAGGGUGCGCCGAAAACCUGGAGUGCUUGAGUGUGGGAGAGGCAAGCGGGAAUUCCUGGUGUAGCGGUGAAAUGCGUAGAUAUCAGGAGGAACACCUGUGGUGUAGACAGCUUGCUGGAC
rnacentral:rRNA from 1 species